rnacentral:rRNA from 1 species
UGGGGAAUAUUGCACAAUGGGGGAAACCCUGAUGCAGCGACGCCGCGUGAGCGAAGAAGGUUUUCGAAUCGUAAAGCUCUGUCCUAUGAGAAGAUAAUGACGGUAUCAUAGGAGGAAGCCCCUGCUAAAUACGUGCCAGCAGCCGCGGUAAUACGUAUGGGGCGAGCGUUGUCCGGAAUUAUUGGGCGUAAAGGGUACGUAGGCGGUCUAUUAAGUCAGGUGUGAAAGCGUGAGGCUUAACCUCAUUAAGCACUUGAAACUGAUAGACUUGAGUGAAGGAGAGGAAAGUGGAAUUCCUAGUGUAGCGGUGAAAUGCGUAGAUAUUAGGAGGAAUACCGGUGGCGAAGGCGACUUUCUGGACUUUUACUGACGCUCAGGUACGAAAGCGUGGGGAGCAAACAGG